GGCCAGAUGAAUCUAAAAUAGGCUGUUUGGUGGCACCCCACCCAAGUGGGGAGUACUCUGUGAAAUUUUGCAUGGGAGCCAAUUAGGACCAGUACAAUGUUUUUAAGUUGGACUAGUUUUUGGAAGGGCCUCGGUCGGGUGAUUUUGUCCCGGUCUUGAGUUGUGUGGUAUGCCCCUUCGCUGUUAUUUUCUUGGUUUGUGGAAAUGGGAUUUACUUACUACUUGGUAUCAAUCGCCGAAGCAUAGAUUCAAUACUAAAGCAAUCGAAAAACACAAGGCCAAAUGUGAAUGAGAAAAAGGUUUUAUAGGAAAACAACUCUCAGCUUAGAACAUCUCCCACCCUCAUUGUAAAUUCUAUUUGAGUGCACCUUAUCUAACUGAACAUUGCUGCUGUUAGUUUACCGGACAUUUUCACUCUCAGGGCAGUGAUCCAAAGAUCAUACAAACCGAGAUUGGUGACAGGAUCAAGUCACCAAGCAUCUGCUUUGCCUUAGAAGAUAAUCAGCUGACUUGAGCUCAUAGACUUCUAAUACAUGUUAAGUUUGUUAACUAUAUGGCUGAACAGACACAACUCAGAGAGAGAGAGAGAGAGAGAGAGAGAGAGACUUACUGGAGAACAUGUGAAGCCAUGAAUAAUUCAGGCUCACCUCCCCAUGCAUUUGGAUCCCGCAUUUGU